UAGAUACUCCCUCCGUUCGGAAUUACUUGUCACGGAAAUGGAUGUAUCUAGAUGUAUUUUAGUUCUAGAUACAUCCAUUUCCGAGACAAGUAAUUCCGAACGGAGGGAGUACAUG
rnacentral:pre_miRNA from 1 species